UACGAAGGGGGCUAGCGUUGUUCGGAAUUACUGGGCGUAAAGCGUACGUAGGCGGCUUUGCAAGUUAGAGGUGAAAGCCUGGAGCUCAACUCCAGAACUGCCUUUAAAACUGCAUCGCUUGAAUCCAGGAGAGGUGAGUGGAAUUCCGAGUGUAGAGGUGAAAUUCGUAGAUAUUCGGAAGAACACCAGUGGCGAAGGCGACUCACUGGACACGUAUUGACGCUGAGGUGCGAAAGCGUGGGGAGCAAACAGG
rnacentral:rRNA from 1 species